CCCCUCUCAGGGUCACACCUGGAGAAUUUCCAGUACUCUACCAGUAUCGACUACGGGAGGGAGAGCCAAGCAGAGGCCUACCCAUUCCAUUCCUAAAUUGGGCAAAGGCUAGCGAGUGGAAGGCAAUCUGCUACAAGU